GACACGCCUGCGGAAAAUUACUGAGCAUAGCAGCGGGGAUGAGGGAGGUUCUGUCGUUGAUCUGAUGUCUGGAUAUAGUUUCUCAGGAAUGAAUUGAGCCGGAGAGAGAGAGAUUUAAUGGGCCUGCUCUCCAUUGAGAAGUCCAAGCUCUUCCUUGAUCCUGUGACGCACCUGAAUAAUGAUGACGCGACGGCUGUCUGUGCAGUCUAGACUAACCCCCCAGGCCGUCCAUCCAUUAUUAUACCCGGCCGACUCCAAGCAGAUGGGUUCACCCUUAUGUGCUUAAGGUUUCUUCCUGAUUAACAGGGAGUUUUUCCUUGCUCCUGUUGCCAUUGCGCUCUAAGGGGGUUCAGGCCCUGGGC